UAUAGAAAUGGGAGAGGGGAAAAGGA
rnacentral:piRNA from 1 species